AAACUGGCCUCCUUACACUGAAAUUUACUUCAUUUCGCAGCCUCGAAUUGACUUGUUUUUGCUUAUUAUUUGCUCUUCCUUCUAUGUUGCUGUUAAGUUUUACCUUUUGUAGCUUUACCUUGGCAGGAGUUUCAAUGAUUUGUAUACUUACUCACAUUUCUACACAAAUUUAGAGUUUGACUCACUCAUUGUCAUUAUACCUGAUAUAAAUUUGAUUGCUUUGAGUUUUUUUUUCUUUUAACAAUACUUACUUUAAAUUAGGUUACUUGAGUUUUUGUUUGUUUUAUUUCUUACUAUUUUGGGCUACUGUUUUAUCAUCUUUGAAUUGUUAUAAACUUAGUUCUUUUCAUACAUACAGUAUUAUAUACGUGGCUUCUUAUUUUUUGGGCUGAGCAAGGGUAUUGUCUGUUUUGGCUCCACUGGAUGGCUGGACAAUUAUGUUCGGCUGCCGAAAUGGUGCACUUGUAUUUGGGCUAUACUAACCCACUGAAAUGUGUACCAAUGUAGUCUCACCCUGACACUGCUAUUUUUUUAUUCUUUUUUCUAUAGGGAUAUGUACUAUGUAUUAUCAUUGUGGUUGUGUAAAUAUGACUACUUUUAUUUUCUUUUCAUAUUAAAAUUUUAUUAUAAACCAUUUUUCAAAUAUGUACUUUCAAAUUUGUUUUAAACCAUUGAGAUGUAGGUUUGAUGUUAAAUAAUAAUAAGAGAGUGAUUAAAUGUCAUUUCAAUAAAAUGACAUAUUUUGAACUAAUCUCUGCUUCUCUAUGGAGUAAAAUAUACAGUGAGGCGAGCUUAUUCUAUCUUCAUCUGUCCUACAGUUGUUUGCAUCUGCUGAUCAUUCCUUUUUCAUGUUGUAUCUAUUAAUUCAUAUCUCGGCUGUGUUUUCUUUUACCAGAAACAUUCUUUGGUUGGAUGAAUCCCCUUAUGCAGCGUGCAUAUCAAAGACCAAUAACAGAGAAGGAAGUGUGGAAGUUAGAUACUUGGGAUAGAACAGAAACACUGAAUGCUAAGUUCCAAGAAUGUUGGGUUAAAGAAUCUCAGAAGCGAAAGCCAUGGCUGUUAAAAGCAUUAAACAGUAGCCUUGGAGGAAGGUUUUGGUGGGGAGGCUUUUGGAAGAUGUGACAAGCGAAAUAGAAAAUGAUACUUA